CGUGCGUCCCGGGCUGGCGGGGCGUGGCGUACGGCUCAGUAACACACGUGGUCAACCUACCCUGCGGACGGCUAUAACCCCGGGAAACUGGGGCUAAUGGCCGAUAGGGGAUGGGUGCUGGAAGGCCCCAUCUCCGAAAGGCCUAACCACCCAUGCUGUGGUUAGGCGCCGCAGGAUGGGACUGCGCCCUAUCAGGUAGACGGUGGGGUAACGGCCCACCGUGCCUAUAACGGGUGCGGGCCCUGGGAGGGGGAGCCCGGAGAUGGGCACUGAGACAAGGGCCCAGGCCCUACGGGGCGCAGCAGGCGCGAAACCUCCGCUAUGCGCGAAAGCGCGACGGGGUCACUCCGAGUGCCGCCUGCUGAGGGCGGCUUUUGCCCAGUCCAAAAGGCUGGGCGAAUAAGGGGAGGGCAAGUUUGGUGUCAGCCGCCGCGGUAAUACCAACUCCCCGAGUGGUCGGGACGAUUAUUGGGCUUAAAGCGUCCGUAGCCGGCCC
rnacentral:rRNA from 1 species